UCUAGUAGCUGGUUCCCUCCGAAGUUUCCCUCAGGAUAGCUGGUGCAUUAUAAAAUUAUAUAAAAUAAUCUUAUCUGGUAAAGCGAAUGAUUAGAGGCCUUAGGGUCGAAACGACCUUAACCUAUUCUCAAACUUUAAAUGGGUAAGAACCUCACCUUUCUUGAUAUGAAGGUUGAGGUUAUGAUAUAAUGUGCCCAGUGGGCCACUUUUGGUAAGCAGAACUGGCGCUGUGGGAUGAACCAAACGUAAUGUUACGGUGCCUAAAUUAACAACUCAUGCAGAUACCAUGAAAGGCGUUGGUUGCUUAAAACAGCAGGACGGUGGACAUGGAAGUCGUAAUCCGCUAAGGAGUGUGUAACAACUCACCUGCCGAAGCAACUAGCCCUUAAAAUGGAUGGCGCUUAAGUUGUAUACCUAUACAUUACCGCUAAAGUAGAUGAUUUAUAAUACAAUUUCGAUUGAAUUAAUAAAUUUUGAAACUUUAGUGAGUAGGAGGGUACAAUGGUGUGCACAGAAGUGUUUGGCGUAAGCCUGCAUGGAGCCGCCAUUGGUACAGAUCUUGGUGGUAGUAGCAAAUAAUCGAAUGAGACCUUGGAGGACUGAAGUGGAGAAGGGUUUCGUGUGAACAGUGGUUGAUCACGAGUUAGUCGGUCCUAAGUUCAAGGCGAAAGCCGAAAAUUUUCAAGUUUUAAUUA
rnacentral:rRNA from 1 species